AGAGUUUGAUUCUGGCUCAGGACGAACGCUGGCGGCGUGCUUAACACAUGCAAGUCGAACGAUGAAGCCUAGCUUGCUAGGUGGAUUAGUGGCGAACGGGUGAGUAAUACGUGAGUAACCUACCUUUAACUCUGGGAUAAGCCUGGGAAACUGGGUCUAAUACCGGAUACGACCAAUCUCCGCAUGGGGUGUUGGUGGAAAGCGUUAUGUAGUGGUUAUAGAUGGGCUCACGGCCUAUCAGCUUGUUGGUGAGGUAACGGCUCACCAAGGCGACGACGGGUAGCCGGCCUGAGAGGGUGACCGGCCACACUGGGACUGAGACACGGCCCAGACUCCUACGGGAGGCAGCAGUGGGGAAUAUUGCACAAUGGGCGCAAGCCUGAUGCAGCGACGCCGCGUGAGGGAUGACGGCCUUCGGGUUGUAAACCUCUGUUAGCAGGGAAGAAGAGAAAUUGACGGUACCUGCAGAGAAAGCGCCGGCUAACUACGUGCCAGCAGCCGCGGUAAUACGUAGGGCGCGAGCGUUGUCCGGAAUUAUUGGGCGUAAAGGGCUUGUAGGCGGUUGGUCGCGUCUGCCGUGAAAUCCUCUGGCUUAACUGGGGGCGUGCGGUGGGUACGGGCUGACUUGAGUGCGGUAGGGGAGACUGGAACUCCUGGUGUAGCGGUGGAAUGCGCAGAUAUCAGGAAGAACACCGAUGGCGAAGGCAGGUCUCUGGGCUGUAACUGACGCUGAGAAGCGAAAGCAUGGGGAGCGAACAGGAUUAGAUACCCUGGUAGUCCAUGCCGUAAACGUUGGGCACUAGGUGUGGGGGACAUUCCACGUUUUCCGCGCCGUAGCUAACGCAUUAAGUGCCCCGCCUGGGGAGUACGGCCGCAAGGCUA
rnacentral:rRNA from 1 species